CCUACGGGAGGCAGCAGUGGGGGAUAUUGCACAAUGGGGGGAACCCUGAUGCAGCGACGCCGCGUGGGUGAAGGAGUGCUUCGGCAUGUAAAGCCCUAUCGGCAGGGAAGAAGCAAGACGGUACCUGACUAAGAAGCCUCGGCUAACUACGUGCCAGCCGCCGCGGUAAUACGUAGGGGGCGAGCGUUAUCCGGAUGUACGGGGUGUAAAGGGAGCGUAGACGGCCAAGCAAGCCAGGGGUGAAAGCCCCGGGCCCAACCCCGGGACUGCCCUUGGAACUGCAUGGCUGGAGUCCGGGAGGGGCAGGCGGAAUUCCUGGUGUAGCGGUGAAAUGCGUAGAUAUCAGGAGGAACACCGGCGGCGAAGGCGGCCUGCUGGACCGCGACUGACGUUGAGGCUCGAAAGCGUGGGGAGCGAACAGGAUUAGAUACCCGGGUAGUC
rnacentral:rRNA from 1 species